UACGAAGGGGCUAGCGUUGCUCGGAAUCACUGGGCGUAAAGGGUGCGUAGGCGGGUCUUAAGUCAGGGGUGAAAUCCUGGAGCUCAACUCCAGAACUGCCUUUGAUACUGGCGACCUUGAGUCCGGGAGAGGUGAGUGGAACUGCGAGUGUAGAGGUGAAAUUCGUAGAUAUUCGCAAGAACACCAGUGGCGAAGGCGGCUCACUGGCCCGGUACUGACGCUGAGGUGCGAAAGCGUGGGGAGCAAACAGG
rnacentral:rRNA from 1 species